GACGAACGCUGGCGGCGUGCUUAACACAUGCAAGUCGAGCGGAAAGGCCACUUCGGUGGUACUCGAGCGGCGAACGGGUGAGUAACACGUGAGUAAUCUGCCCUUGGCUUUGGGAUAGCCACCGGAAACGGUGAUUAAUACCGGAUACGACCACUUCUCGCAUGGGAUGGUGGUGGAAAGUUUUUCGGCCAGGGAUGUGCUCGCGGCCUAUCAGCUUGAUGGUGAGGUAAUGGCUCACCAUGGCUUCGACGGGUAGACGGCCUGAGAGGGUGACGGGUGACACUGGUACUGAGACACGGCACAGACUCCUACGGGAGGCAGCAGUGGGGAAUAUUGGACAAUGGGCGGAAGCCUGAUCCAGCAACGCCGCGUGAGGGAUGACGGCCUUCGGGUUGUAAACCUCUUUCGGUGGGGACGAAGCGCAAGUGACGGUACCCACUAAAGAAGCACCGGCCAACUACGUGCCAGCCGCCGCAGUAAGAC
rnacentral:rRNA from 1 species